rnacentral:rRNA from 1 species
UACGAAGGGGGCUAGCGUUGUUUGGAAUUACUGGGCGUAAAGCGCGCGCAGGCGGUUCUUCAAGUCAGAGGUGAAAGCCCAGAGCUCAACUCUGGAAUGGCCUUUGAGACUAGAGAACUAGGGUACGGGAGAGGUGAGUGGAAUUCCGAGUGUAGAGGUGAAAUUCGUAGAUAUUCGGAAGAACACCAGUGGCGAAGGCGGCUCACUGGCCCGAUACUGACGCUGAGGUGCGAAAGCGUGGGGAGCAAACAGG